rnacentral:lncRNA from 1 species
UGAUGAUUGAGGAGUGUGGACGUACACGCCCGCACCAGAUGAGACGGGCAAGUGUUGUGGGUCGCCGUGGUAUGGUAUGACCACGAACGUAGUCGGAGACUCGGAGGCAAUAAUAAGCAGAGAUUGUUGUCGCGUAGGUUUGGGUCGUUUUAGUUUGUAGUCCAACGAGAGUACUUGCUGUGGUUUGAAGUUGAAGUCGUUUCCAAGUUUCUUUAUCGUUGAAAGGAAUCGUUUCCACGUUGUUGUGUGUAAGUUUGCCCUUUUCAGGCUGUCCUUCCCACCAGUAGAAAAAGGGUCUUAUGUUCAACUCUUUAGUCCCAGUUUGUAAUAGAACCGGCACUAAUGUGAUCAUUAGUGUCGGUUCCAACGGCUAGACGGUCGGCUUUCAUUAGUAUCGGUUCGUGACGAACCUUUAGUAUCGGUUCGUGCCAUGAACCAUGAACUAAAGAGAUGGUGGCAGACUUGUGUCAGGCUGCGGCUCCACCAUGACCUAUAGUACCGGUUAAUGCCACAAACCGGUACUAGAGUGUUUUAGUUCAUUCUUUCUGCAGCAGUUUUUUAGUCCCACCUCACUCCGCUAACAGGGUUUUUACCACCUUAAAUAUGUUACUUCUCAAACUAUCAUGAGCACUUGGUCUUCAUUGAACUCUAUGCAUAUGAUCUAUGGCCUCUUAAACCAGUGAAGAUUCCUAUUGACAAUUCAGAUUUUACACAAAAAGAUCAUUGAUGAUCAAUGUAUUUUUUAUAUAUAUUUUUACAUGUUUACACAUAGCACUAGCGCGUUUUGGCAAAAACUGGAUGCACUCCGUGUAUAAACUGGACAAUCGCUUUCGAAGUAUCAGAGUUUCAGACGAAAACUCAUAUGUUAUAGAGGCACUUUUCAUAUUUUUUAAACUUAUUACAACUCCAGACUUUUUGUGCCUUUAGUAUGCACCAUUCAAAGCCACGUCAUCAACUUUCAAUCCUUUAUGUCUUCAUUUUCUAUUUUUCAUGCAUAUACUGAUUUUUUGAGCUAAAUGACCAUGCUAUUGAAAAGCACUACAAAUUAACUCUGAAAAGGUUAAAAGUUGGCAUGGUAUCAUCAUUUCACCCAUCUAGCAUGUGCAAAAAAGUUGAAAGGGUUACGACAAAAACUGGAUGCACUUCGUGUACAAACUGGACAAUCUCUUUCGAAGUAUCAGGGUUUCGGACGAAACUCAUCUGUUACAAAGGCAUUUCUUUUUCUAAAACUUAUUACAACUCCAGACUUUUUGUGCGUUCGGUAUGCACCAUUCAAAUCCACGUCAUUAACUUUCAACUCUUUCUGCCUUCAUUUUCUAUUUUUCAUGCAUAUACUGAUUUUUUCAAAUCUUAUUUUCUAUUUUUUGUACCUAAAGCUAAAAUAUUUAUAAAAAAACUCUAAAUACAACAUAAAAAAAC